GUGUCUUGCUUUUUCUUUUCCAUUUCGGACAUGUUUUUUUCUUCAACAAAUUCAUCAUCCAUCCACAACAACUUUGGUUUUCCAGAGCAAGACGAAAAUACACAAAACAAAAGCAAAAGAGUGACAGUUUUUGAAAUAACUUUCAUAUUUUCAACCAAAAGAAGAGAAACGUGUUCUUCGUGUUUCCAGUCGCCAAUGUAGCUACUUCUAUGUCGAGCGUUGACAAUUACUAUGUACUCUGAGAUG